rnacentral:lncRNA from 1 species
AAGAGCACGUCCCUGCUGACAUCCAACGGAUCUGGGAUUUUCUGGAUGGCAACGCCCGCCGGCGACCUCAAGCCGACAGAAGUCAUCUGCUUCCUCAAUAAAUCAUCCUUGAAGAUGCAGCAGCAGGAACAUCAUACCCGGCAAUGGACCGGAGCCACCCUCUCCCCCAUCAAGUCGAAGCGGAGGCUGCGGUGAAAGAGAUAGAAGAAGAGUACAUCCGUCUUCUGAUAGAACUAGGUUGGGCUGAGAGAGAGCGUAAGAAAAAGCGUGAUUAAUUAUUUUUUGUUCUAAGGGUGACUUGUACCUUGUCGGCCGUGUAACCCACCAUCCGUAACGAAUGAAAUACAUCGGCCGAUUUGGACGAUUACGUGUUUUCUCUAAACGAAUACUUUUGUAUCGGCUGUGUGUUGUUUAUCGUGGUCGAUCCUUUAUGCUCUGACCCAUAUACUAGGGUAGUACCUUUUCAAGUAUCUUCCGUUCAGAGCCCUGGUAAACUCUUCUCCUUCGAUUGUUUCCAGAAUAUAAGCGUUUCCUGGAGCACAUCUGCCAAUUUUAUAUGGCCCUUCCCAUGUAGGGGACCACUUACCGAAUUUAGGAUCUUUUGACCCAAUCGGCAACACUAACUUCCAAACCAGGUCCCCUGGAGAGAAUUGUUUGACUUUGACCUUCUUAUCAUACCACCUGGCCACUUUCUUCUUGUUUUCC